rnacentral:piRNA from 1 species
UGGCUGUCCCAGAACUCACUCUGUAGACC